rnacentral:rRNA from 1 species
CCUACGGGUGGCUGCAGUCGAGAAUCUUCCGCAAUGGGCGCAAGCCUGACGGAGCGACGCCGCGUGCGGGAUGAAGGCCUUCGGGUUGUAAACCGCUGUCAGAGGGGAUGAAAGCCGCAAGGCUUGACAGAGCCUCAGAGGAAGCACGGGCUAAGUUCGUGCCAGCAGCCGCGGUAAGACGAACUGUGCGAACGUUAUUCGGAAUCACUGGGCUUACAGGGUGCGUAGGCGGCCUGUUAAGUAGGGUGUGAAAUCCCCCGGCCCAACCGGGGAAUGGCGCUCUAAACUGGCAGGCUUGAGUGAGCUAGGGGUGCAUGGAACUUCCAGUGGAGCGGUGAAAUGUGUUGAUAUUGGAAGGAACACCGGAGGCGAAAGCGAUGCACUGGGGCUUUUCUGACGCUGAGGCACGAAAGCCAGGGUAGCGAACGGGAUUAGAUACC